rnacentral:rRNA from 1 species
GACGAACGCUGGCGGCGUGCUUAACACAUGCAAGUCGAACGGAAAGGCCCUGCUUUUGUGGGGUGCUCGAGUGGCGAACGGGUGAGUAACACGUGAGUAACCUGCCCUUGACUUUGGGAUAACGUCAGGAAACUGGGGCUAAUACCGGAUAGGAGCUCCUGCUGCAUGGUGGGGGUUGGAAAGUUUCGGCGGUUGGGGAUGGACUCGCGGCUUAUCAGCUUGUUGGUGGGGUAGUGGCUUACCAAGGCUUUGACGGGUAGGCGGCCUGAGAGGGUGACCGGCCACAUUGGGACUGAGGUACGGCGCAGACUGCUACGGGAGGCAGCAGUGGGGAAUAUGGCACAAUGGGCGGAAGCCUGAUGAAGAAACGCCGCGGGCGGGAUGACGGCCUUCGGGUUGUGAACCGCUUUCGCCUGUGACGAAGCGUGAGUGACGGUAAUGGAUAAAGAAGCACCGGCUAACUACGUG